GCUUUGGGGGCUGCUUACCAUGCAAGUCGAACGGCAGCGCGGGGCAACCUGGCGGCGAGUGGCGAACGGGUGAGUAAUAUAUCGGAACGUACCCUGGAGUGGGGGAUAACGUAGCGAAAGUUACGCUAAUACCGCAUACGAUCUAAGGAUGAAAGCAGGGGACCGCAAGGCCUUGUGCUCCUGGAGCGGCCGAUAUCUGAUUAGCUAGUUGGUGGGGUAAAGGCCUACCAAGGCAUCGAUCAGUAGCUGGUCUGAGAGGACGACCAGCCACACUGGAACUGAGACACGGUCCAGACUCCUACGGGAGGCAGCAGUGGGGAAUUUUGGACAAUGGGCGCAAGCCUGAUCCAGCAAUGCCGCGUGAGUGAAGAAGGCCUUCGGGUUGUAAAGCUCUUUUGUCAGGGAAGAAACGGUGAGAGCUAAUAUCUCUUGCUAAUGACGGUACCUGAAGAAUAAGCACCGGCUAACUACGUGCCAGCAGCCGCGGUAAUACGUAGGGUGCAAGCGUUAAUCGGAAUUACUGGGCGUAAAGCGUGCGCAGGCGGUUUUGUAAGUCUGUCGUGAAAUCCCCGGGCUCAACCUGGGAAUUGCGAUGGAGACUGCAAGGCUAGAAUCUGGCAGAGGGGGGUAGAAUUCCACGUGUAGCAGUGAAAUGCGUAGAGAUGUGGAGGAACACCGAUGGCGAAGGCAGCCCCCUGGGUCAAGAUUGACGCUCAUGCACGAAAGCGUGGGGAGCAAACAGGAUUAGAUACCCUGGUAGUCCACGCCCUAAACGAUGUCUACUAGUUGUCGGGUUUUAAUUAACUUGGUAACGCAGCUAACGCGUGAAGUAGACCGCCUGGGGAGUACGGUCGCAAGAUUAAAACUCAAAGGAAUUGACGG
rnacentral:rRNA from 1 species